rnacentral:rRNA from 1 species
GUACACGCUGUGACUAGCAUAUCAAUAAGCGGAGGAAAAGAAACUAACAAGGAUUCCCUCAGUAACGGCGAGUGAAGCGGGAAGAGCUCAAAUUUGAAAUCUUGAAAGGUCACCUUUCACGAAUUGUAGUUUAAAGAAGUGUUUUCUGUGACGAUCUGGUAAUAUAAGUUCUUUGGAAUAGGACAUCAUAGAGGGUGAGAAUCCCGUAUUUGACCAUUAUUUUCAGCUUUGUGAUACACUUUCAAAGAGUCGGAUUGUUUGGGAAUGCAGUCCAAAAUGGGUGGUAAAUUUCAUCUAAAGCUAAAUAUUGGCGAGAGACCGAUAGCGAACAAGUACCGUGAGGGAAAGAUGAAAAGAACUUUGAAAAGAGAGUUAAACAGUACGUGAAAUUGUCGAAAGGGAAGCGUUUGACACCAGUGUUGUUUUCUCGAAAAUCAAUUAAAAAUGGCUCGAUUUUGUAUUGCUUGAGACCUUAAAAGCUCACUGUACAUUUUUCGUGUCUUUUUUAAUGCACUUUUCGUUUAACAAGUCAACAUCAGUUUCUUUUGUUGUAAAAGGGUCAUUGGAAGGUAGCUUUCUUUUCGGAGAUAAGUGUUUAUAGCCUUUGGCCUCUGCAAUCGGAUGAGACUGAGGUCUGCAGCGUAGACUCUUCGGGGUUAGAUACAUUUGUGCUAAGUUAUAGCUUUUUAUAGACAACUUGUUGACUAUAAUUAGUCUUGUAGCUUACUCGCUUAUGCUAUUUUACCUACGCUUAGGAUGUUGAGUAGCGACAUACGCAC